UACGUAGGUGGCAAGCGUUGUCCGGAUUUACUGGGUGUAAAGGGCGUGCAGCCGGGCCGGCAAGUCAGAUGUGAAAUCUGGAGGCUUAACCUCCAAACUGCAUUUGAAACUGUAGGUCUUGAGUACCGGAGAGGUUAUCGGAAUUCCUUGUGUAGCGGUGAAAUGCGUAGAUAUAAGGAAGAACACCAGUGGCGAAGGCGGAUAACUGGACGGCAACUGACGGUGAGGCGCGAAAGCGUGGGGAGCAAACAGG
rnacentral:rRNA from 4 species